UACAGAGGGUGCGAGCGUUGUUCGGAAUUAUUGGGCGUAAAGGGCGCGUAGGCGGUGCGGUAAGUCACCUGUGAAAUCUCCUGGCUCAACUGGGAGCUUGCAGGCGAAACUGCCGUGCUGGAGUGUGGGAGAGGUGCGUGGAAUUCCCGGUGUAGCGGUGAAAUGCGUAGAGAUCGGGAAGAACACCAGUGGCGAAAGCGCUCUACUGGGCCUCAUCUGACACUGAGGGACGAAAGCUAGGGGAGCGAAAGGG
rnacentral:rRNA from 1 species